GCGCCCGCAAGGGGAGCGGCAGACGGGUGAGUAACGCGUGGGAAUCUACCCAUCUCUACGGAACAACUCCGGGAAACUGGAGCUAAUACCGUAUACGUCCUUCGGGAGAAAGAUUUAUCGGAGAUGGAUGAGCCCGCGUUGGAUUAGCUAGUUGGUGGGGUAAUGGCCUACCAAGGCGACGAUCCAUAGCUGGUCUGAGACGAUGAUCAGCCACACUGGGACUGAGACACGGCCCAGACUCCUACGGGAGGCAGCAGUGGGGAAUAUUGGACAAUGGGCGAAAGCCUGAUCCAGGCAUGCCGCGUGAGUGAUGAAGGCCCUAGGGUUGUAAAGCACUUUCAACGGUGAAGAUAAUGACGG
rnacentral:rRNA from 1 species